GUCUCUGUAAUGUUCUAUAGUGCGAAAUGGGCAUCAUAUAUUGUACCUAUGGGGGAAUCGAAUCCAGACGUUCGGCGCAACGAUCCAGCACUUUGACUACUCAACCCACCGACAGGAUGAUGUUUCAGCUUGAGAAUCCACACAUAACACUUUCAACGCCACAAGCUGGUCCUACUUUGUCAGUCCAUCCACUAACAUGGGAAGAAGGCGUGGCACCAUGCAUGGUCGUCAAGGUUACAACACAAAAAAAUGUAAGAAGUGAACUCGGGACGACGAGCGAGUUGGCAAUGUAAAAAUAGUUAAUGAAAUAAAAAACUAAAGAUAACCUGUAAAGCCUUGAAAAAUACCUCCGUAUAAAAUGUAUUUGGAUAUCGAAUAAUACUGAUUUCUUGCCUGAA